UACCAGACUCCUACGGGAGGCAGCAGUGGGGGAUAUUGCACAAUGGGGGAAACCCUGAUGCAGCGACGCCGCGUGGGUGAGGAAGUAUUUCGGUAUGUAAAGCCCUAUCAGCAGGGAAGAAGAUGACAGUACCUGACUAAGAAGCCCCGGCUAACUACGUGCCAGCAGCCGCGGUAAUACGUAGGGAGCAAGCGUUAUCCGGAUUUACUGGGUGUAAAGGGAGCGCAGGUGGCAAGGCAAGCCAGAAGUGAAAACCCGGGGCUUAACCCCGCGGAUUGCUUUUGGAACUGUCUGGCUGGAGUGCAGGAGGGGCAGGCGGAAUUCCUGGUGUAGCGGUGAAAUGCGUAGAUAUACGGAGGAACACCAGUGGCGAAGGCGGAUUGCUGGACAGUAACUGACGCUGAGGCGCGAAAGCGUGGGGAGCAAACAGGAUUAGAUACCCUAGUA
rnacentral:rRNA from 1 species